GAGAAGGGGCUGGUCUGGCGCGACCAGCAAGAUGCAUGUCUGAUCCCACGCGUGCGACCACGAGAUAGCAGAGUACAAGGGGGUCGAAGGAAAGAAAAUCAUCAGCGCCGACUGCCUUUUUCUCCCCUCCUCCUCGCUGCCUUCCACUACUCACCUACCACCAGAUCGAACAAGGGGAUCAAGGGGAACCAGUAGAAGAACCAGAUCGAAGGAGAGAGAGAGAGGGAGAAGAGGGUGCCGGGAGACUGGCGGUGGCGCCCGAUCCACCAUGAAGCUGCCCCGAACUGAUCGGCGAUCCACCGCUCCUCUCCAACUACGACGCCGACCUGCUGCACUUCCUCGUCUCCAACGACGACGCCGACCUGCUUCACUUUCUCGUCUCCAACCUCAAGAUCGACCACUGCUACUCAGCUCCAACUCCUGCUGCUGCGACCUCCCUGACCGACGAUCUCUGCCACUCCUUCUCUCCCCCUCCUCGCUGCUGAGAGGGAGAGGAUCGACCAGAGGCCAGGGGCGUCGGGCCUUCUGGUGCUCCACGCAAGAUCGUCUCCAACGUGCUCUGCUGCUACUCUUCUUUGCCUGCAACAUCUACAGCUUCGGAUCGAAGAUCAUCAAGACCCAUAGGCUCUGAACCUCUUUCUUCUCUUGUUCCUGUUCUCUGAAUAUAUGCACUGUUGGAUCUGAAAAUUACUUUGUUACCUGUGUACCUUUGCUGAAACCUCAUGUAUCCUUGCUGAAUUGUUGUUACACUUGCUGGAUAUUAAGUUAGUAGUUAUUCUCCUGUGAGCCGCUGUCACAUUAAUUGGUUGCAUGAGUUGUGUGUGAUGUCUGAACCAUCUUCCAUGUGCUAGUUUUACUUGUCUGUUUGAUUACAAGAAAACCACUAAAAAAGAGACAAUCCUAUUUCUGAACCCUUUACCUUUGCUGCAUUUUAUUUUGUUUUACCUUGCUCUAGUAGCUGCUUGUUGUCACUACGGUUUAAUUCAUCUAUUCCGUUGUUCUGAAUGUGUGCUUCGAAGUUCUAGAUCCCUGAGGAGAACACGACAUCUGUAGUUUGGGCGCAAAAACCCUGCUAUAUUACACUUGAUCAUUUUGGCGCCGUUGCCGGGGAUCUAAAUUUCAUUAGCACAUUAGUAGAAGCAGAUCAGGAUUUAUUUUAGGUCGACUACGUAGUAUUGCUGGCAACUAACCAUUUCCUAACAUUGGCUGCAGUUUUGAGAAAACUAGCAUGUGUCAAUUUCAGGAACUUUAUAGGAAAUUGUCUUAUGCUUCAACCUGACUAUUCACUAGAGCCA
rnacentral:rRNA from 1 species